UACGUAGGCAGCGAGCGUUGUUCGGAAUUACUGGGCGUAAAGAGUGUGUAGGCGGUGCUCUAAGUUCGGUGUGAAAUCUCCUGGCUCAACUGGGAGGGUGCGCCGGAAACUGGAGUGCUUGAGCGUGGGAGAGGAAAGCGGGAAUUCCUGGUGUAGCGGUGAAAUGCGUAGAUAUCAGGAGGAACACCUGUGGUGUAGACGGCUUUCUGGACCAUAGCUGACGCUGAGACACGAAAGCGUGGGUAGCAAACAGG
rnacentral:rRNA from 1 species